GACGAACGCUGGCGGCGUGCCUAAUACAUGCAAGUCGAGCGGACAGAAGGGAGCUUGCUCCCGGAAGUUAGCGGCGGACGGGUGAGUAACACGUGGGCAACCUACCCUGUAGAUCGGGAUAACAUCGAGAAAUCGGUGCUAAUACCGGAUAAUCAUUUGAAGUGCAUGCUUCGAAUGUAAAAGAUGGCUCCGGCUAUCACUACGGGAUGGGCCCGCGGCGCAUUAGCUAGUUGGUAAGGUAAUGGCUUACCAAGGCAACGAUGCGUAGCCGACCUGAGAGGGGGAUCGGCCACACUGGGACUGAGACACGGCCCAGACUCCUACGGGAGGCAGCAGUAGGGAAUCUUCCGCAAUGGACGAAAGUCUGACGGAGCAACGCCGCGUGAGUGAUGAAGGUUUUCGGACCGUAAAGCUCUGUUGUUAGGGAAGAACAAGUGCCGUUUGAAUAAGGCGGCACCUUGACGGUACCUAACCAGAAAGCCACGGCUAACUACGUGCCAGCCGCCGCCGUAAAAC
rnacentral:rRNA from 1 species